rnacentral:misc_RNA from 1 species
GGAAAAUCAUGCUCUGUAAUAAUAAUUAUGUAAUGUUAAAUGUGCUUGUAAACAAGUUAAUAGGUAAAUGUGUGGAAUGUGUGAUAAAUGGGGACAUUUGAUUGUGGAAGUCUCAUUACAUGCAUAUAAAUAUUUAUCAUCAGCUGCAAUUUAAUAAAAAAUAAAAACAACAAGUUGUAACAUCUAUAGAUUGUGUGUAUGAAAACUAAUGAUGUCUUGCAUAUCUUUGAAAAGUAAUGUAAACUCAUGUGCGGUGUCUCUUGUAUACCUUGUGAAUUUUUUCAUUUUGUAAAGGUACUUAUUCAUUAUUGUUGAUCAUCAUAAAACAUUUUGUUACACAAUUGGUAAACUAAACAUCAAAGAAUGCCACUAUCUAUUUCUCUGCAAUAUAGAAUGUGCUGUUCAGUCCUAUCUCCUCAAAUGAAAAACAAUUGUUUAUUCUUGGCUGUUUCUUUUUCACAGUAGAACAAUAAAUUCCCUAAAUCUUCUUGCAAAAUCUAAAGAAAAGCGAGGCAGAUUUUGCAGUAGCAACUACAUUGCUUGUGUCAUCAUGGGGGGGGGGGGGGAUUAUUACGUGUUUAUGUGACAUUCUUGAUCAUAAUAUCUAAAUUUUUGUGCAUCACAGACAUGUGCAUGUGUCCUAGGAUUUGCUUUCAAUCUGUACCAGAUAAUAUUACUUUCCCUAAUGCACUUUAAAGUAAUCCUAGUCAUUUUGUUUGUUAAAAUAUUACAACAUUUCACUCGGAGUUACAAAGUAUGCACCUUGCAAAGAUUCAUAAAUUAUAAUGUAUUUGUUUCCAUUUUACAUAAAUAAAAAAGUGCAGUUGCUGGUAAUGGGACAAGGAAUCUUUUUGCUCAAAAUUUUAGCUGUAUCAGUCAUGUAUCACAUUUUAUGGGAACAUUGAUUUAGAAUAGUAUGUCUGUUCAAUAUCAGUAGAUUUUGUUUCUCUUUUACUGAACUCUGAAGCACCAUGUGCUCAGACUAAUGGAUUUAUUGAAGAAAAGCUGAUAGUAUCAUAAGGUAAAUUGUCAACAUGAUGUACAACUUUGGUACUUGCUUUAUGAGGAAAAUAAAUGAAUUAUGAUUUGAAAAGUGCAUUUUAUACCUAGAACAUUUGCUAUUUACAACAUGGUCCAAAUGGGUCAAGGGAUUGGGAGAAGGGUUUUCCUGUUGAUCACUAUUACAGUACAUGUCACUAAUUUUAGAAUUAUUAGUAAAUUAUCUAUCCUUAGAUUUAUCAUAUUUGACAUUCCUAGAUUUUCACAAAGCUGUUGUGUUUCAAUGUGCAUAUUUGAUUUCUGAUUUUUGUAUAUUAUAUAAUGACUUGACUUUUUGUACAGAAUAGAACGAUUUCAAUAUUUAAACUUAAUAUAUACAUGUACUGUAUAAAAUAUCUCGCUGAACAGUAGUUCUUUUAUUUCUGUACAGCAAAUUCAUGUUGAAAUGUAAAUAAUGGCAUGAACCAAAUACCUGUAUAACCUUUUUAAAAUUUUGAAUAUGAAUUACAUGUAUGCAGAAAUCAUUAAAUUUAUUACCAUA